AUUCCCGUCGUAGGCGCCCCGCUUGGUGGCGUCGCCAGAGCUCUCGCGCAUGGUGUGAGAGUCCUGGAGGACGGGGUUAAUUAUGCAACAGGGAACUUACCUGGUUGCUCCUU
rfam:Hepatitis C virus subtype 2a isolate G2aK3, complete genome.